UCUUAUGGAUGAGCAAAGAAAGUGGUUUUCUCGAGAUGGAAUCUACUUCUGAUGAAGAAGCUAUGAA
rnacentral:pre_miRNA from 1 species